UACGUAGGCAGCAAGCGUUGUUCGGAGUUACUGGGCGUAAAGGGUGUGUAGGCGGUUCUCUAAGUUUGGUGUGAAAUCUCCCGGCUCAACUGGGAGGGUGCGCCGAAAACUGGGGGGCUAGAGUACUGGAUGGGAGAGUGGAAUUCCUGGUGUAGCGGUGAAAUGCGUAGAUAUCAGGAGGAACACCGGUGGCGAAGGCGGGUCUCUGGGCCGAAACUGACGCUGAGGAGCGAAAGCGUGGGGAGCGAACAGG
rnacentral:rRNA from 1 species